rnacentral:rRNA from 1 species
GAACCUACGGGGGGCAGCAGUGAGGAAUAUUGGUCAAUGGGCGCAAGCCUGAACCAGCCAAGUCGCGUGAGGGAUGACGGUCCUAUGGAUUGUAAACCUCUUUUGUCGGGGAGCAAGGCCCGCCACGUGUGGCGGGAAGGAGAGUACCCGAAGAAAAAGCAUCGGCUAACUCCGUGCCAGCAGCCGCGGUAAUACGGAGGAUGCGAGCGUUAUCCGGAUUUAUUGGGUUUAAAGGGUGCGCAGGCGGCGAGUUAAGUCAGCGGUAAAAUUUCGGGGCUCAACCCCGAAGAGCCGUUGAAAAUGGC